CACGAGGAACUCUUUAGUAAAAGCUCGCAUGAUAUCCGCGCGCUUUAGAUGUGCCCCAAGUAAGUUAUGAUAUCAUGCACAACAAAUUAAGCACGCACGUGACGUAAAGCACGUGCUCAGAUGCAGGUGCAAUGAACAUGCACUAACCAAUCGCAGGCUUGAAGAAAGGACUACCUUUAACGACGAAAUUAUCAUAUUCCUUUCAAGUAAUAUUCCUAUGGGAGAGCAAAAUUGACGCAACCGAGAGCCCAUUUGACAGAAGUUUCCAAUGUCUUAAACAAAGAAGAAUUUUGUCUUCAGUCGGUUGGAUCACACCAGAUGGAAGCUUACCCUUUGCUACGGUCGUCCUUCGCAGUUAAGUGCCCGAACUGGUGUAUUUGCUUACAGAUCAAGUAGCAGCAAAAACUCUGGCCAACAAAGGUUUUUAGUUCAGUAUUGCACCCGCCGAAGACCCAUGCAGUGGUCAGUUCUAAAAGGGUUUUUCCUCGGAGAAAAAAAGUCUUUUUGAAAAAUAGCUCCCACCAGAAACGGAAAUAACUAUCUUGAAAUAUGCGGGAAGAUAAAUAAAAGACUACCAUGAAAGAUGAAAAGGUCUUGAAUCUGCAGUGUAUCAUGUUGAAGAGCUUCUUUGCGAGCGUAACAAUAGGCAGAGUAUCUUCUCUUACUACUACGAGCUCGAGAUUUACUUACUUAUCCAGAAGUCCGUGCUACCAUAUUAAAACUGGGAAAUAGCACUUAGCUAGCACUAAGAUGUUAUUAUUACGCUAUUAUGUUAUUUUAUCAAAUAAGGUCAUGAGGACGUGCAAAAUAUACCAUGGCCUUACACUGGAGAACAGUGCAGAAAUACUGAGCUACAUAUAUUGGUCCCACUAAACGAUUUAAACUUUGGUUUUUUUUUCCUUAUUUUAAGGGAACGAAGUUUUAGCGCGACAUUUUUUUCGUGGUCACAAAGAAGAUGAAAGCAAAUUCAAGAUGGCAAAGCAUUUUUUUUUACCUAGCGACAAGUAAAUACAUGUAUUUUCUUCAGGCUUUAAAACAACAGUUGAGAUGACCAAAGCAAGAAGGUCAUAGGUUAUUUGUAAGCUGUUACUACGGAAAUAAAGGUAACUUCUAUGACCGCUA